GGUUAGAUACCCUAGUAUAAAGGGUUAAGUGAAUUGGUAUAUUUUGACAAUUAAAGAGUUUGGCGGUUAUUGAAUGAUUUAGAGGAGCUUGUCUUAAAUUGAGAAUUUGCUCUUUAUAUUUAAAUGAUUUGAUGUUUAUUCAUCUCCGUUAUUAGAUAUAUUUUUGUAGAAAAAUUGAUUUUUUAUUUCAGGUCAAGAUGUAGCGUAUUUUAUAUAGGAUUAGCUACAUUUAUAUAUUAAUUGGAAUUAAUAGGGAUGUCUAUGGGGAAAGUGAAUUUGAUUGUAAUGAUAAUUAAAAUGUUUUUAUGAAAAAAUGUUGAUAAUGUACAGAUUGCCCGUCACUUCUGUUGUUGAGAUAGAAUAAGUCGUAACAUAGU
rnacentral:rRNA from 1 species